AGUUGAGAAGCCCUGCUCUGGCAGGUCCAGACACUUUUGUCACCACCUGCCAGUAGCAAGUAUAGCAAGGGCUGUGUCCCACUCAGUGUGUGACCUUGGAUGUUUGCUGAACCUGUCUCAACUGUCAAAUAGGGACGAUGAUGGGAAGAAUACUGGCAGCAGCAGGAACCUUCAUCUGCUCCAUAAAUCAGAGAAGCCAUCACCCAGGCACUCAGAAAGAAAUGGCUAACAACAACCUUUGUGUUCUCAAGGAUCCCAUGAUAAAUUCUCAUUAAGUCCAUUGAGGUGUA